rnacentral:lncRNA from 1 species
GGAGAAGAGGAACUGGGGGGUGAAUCCCUUUGCCCGUGGGACGUCCUGGCUGUGGCGCUGGGUUCCCUGGUGUGGCCCUUAGGUUUGGAGAGGGGAAUCGAGUGGGUGAAGCCUCAGCUCCCGCCUCGCAGUGGGUCCGGUGAUUUAAUCCUCUUGGUGCGUAUGGGAAAAUUAACUGUGCCAGAUGAGCGCGUUGAGCUGCGCGUUACCUCCCCGGAGGAAGGGGCUGGAAUUAUGAGUGACUGCAAUAGCGGUUCGUAGUCAAAGCUCAUUAGCAGGGCUUGCGUUCCUGGUCCUGGCGUUAACUAUGACAGACGUGUGUUUUGUGGUCCCGGAAACAAGUGCUAGUCACGCACAAAUCACGGUGGUCUCUAUAUCCUGCUCGGAAAAAGUGGCAGACGCUUUCAGUCAACAGCAGUUGACUUCUCAGAACUGCUCGUCAGCUGUGAUAAGCUCUUAGGGGAGCGUUUAUGGACACAUGUAAAAUAAUUUCCAAAAAGCAUCCGUCAUCUUUAUCAUCCCCCUACGAAGUAAAAGGGUUUAUUUUGUUGCUGGAAAAGUUUGCAGAGAACUGAAUGAAAUUGGGGAAGAUGGGAGGGAAUUGAUGGUUUUUAGCGUCUUUGCAGACAUGACUCUAGGUUUAAAUACAAGAAAAGAGGGAUAAUUCAUGUUCCUGUAAGACUAAAAACGGGCAGUAAAAAGCCCCUGGUAGCCACAGCCGUGAGUGGUGAGUCAUUGCCCGCCUUGCUUGAGAGCUUUGUCAGCCUCUCACGCUGCAAGCUGGCAGCACCAGGGGACGGACACGGGCGGGAAGCGCCGCGCGGUCUGGCACGCGGCGGAGCUGCGGGAAUAAUCUGAUGCUUUUGGUUUCAUUUAGGUCUGAGCCCUACUCUUCCACAGGUACGUUGUACUACGCCUAAGUUCAAUGUGCCUUAAAAGCGUCUGCGGAGUGACGGGACUUUGUCAUUUCGGUAGCGCUUGGAGUAGUCUGGUGGCUCCUGGAAGCUGAAGGAGUGUGUUUGCUCGUGGUUCUGCCAGAAGAGACCAUCGCUGGCGCUGGAGUGCUGCGGAAGAGAUUUCGGCUUCACGCUUGGCUCUUUAAAUUGUUGGAAAGGUUCGUAGCUGUUGCCGCAGUCAAGCUGCUGGGCAGUUUGCUUUCCUCCCGAGGUUUUGGAGCAGGAGCGGCCCCGUUGCGGCAGCGCCAGUCGUGGCUCUUCGGACACUGCACCGGGCACCGGAGAUUCGCCCGUGCACAAUACCUGCACGGCGUUGAGCGUUGCCCUUUCCAGGGGCCUCUUCCCCGCCGGAAGCUGCGAACGAAAACAAUAUUUGCAGAGAAGUAA